UACGUAGGGGGCUAGCGUUGUCCGGAAUCAUUGGGCGUAAAGCGCGUGUAGGCGGUCCGGUAAGUCCGCUGUGAAAGUCGGGGGCUCAACCCUCGAAUGCCGGUGGAUACUGUCGGGCUAGAGUGCGGAAGAGGCGAGUGGAAUUCCUGGUGUAGCGGUGAAAUGCGCAGAUAUCAGGAGGAACACCAAUUGCGAAGGCAGCUCGCUGGGACGUAACUGACGCUGAGACGCGAAAGCGUGGGGAGCAAACAGG
rnacentral:rRNA from 1 species